GUUAAGCGACUAAGCGUACACGGUGGAUGCCCUGGCAGUCAGAGGCGAUGAAGGACGUGCUAAUCUGCGAUAAGCGUCGGUAAGGUGAUAUGAACCGUUAUAACCGGCGAUUUCCGAAUGGGGAAACCCAGUGUGUUUCGACACACUAUCAUUAACUGAAUCCAUAGGUUAAUGAGGCGAACCGGGGGAACUGAAACAUCUAAGUACCCCGAGGAAAAGAAAUCAACCGAGAUUCCCCCAGUAGCGGCGAGCGAACGGGGAGGAGCCCAGAGCCUGAAUCAGUGUGUGUGUUAGUGGAAGCGUCUGGAAAGGCGCGCGAUACAGGGUGACAGCCCCGUACACAAAAAUGCACAUGCUGUGAGCUCGAUGAGUAGGGCGGGACACGUGGUAUCCUGUCUGAAUAUGGGGGGACCAUCCUCCAAGGCUAAAUACUCCUGACUGACCGAUAGUGAACCAGUACCGUGAGGGAAAGGCGAAAAGAACCCCGGCGAGGGGAGUGAAAAAGAACCUGAAACCGUGUACGUACAAGCAGUGGGAGCACGCUUCGGCGUGUGACUGCGUACCUUUUGUAUAAUGGGUCAGCGACUUAUAUUCUGUAGCAAGGUUAACCGAAUAGGGGAGCCGAAGGGAAACCGAGUCUUAACUGGGCGUUAAGUUGCAGGGUAUAGACCCGAAACCCGGUGAUCUAGCCAUGGGCAGGUUGAAGGUUGGGUAACACUAACUGGAGGACCGAACCGACUAAUGUUGAAAAAUUAGCGGAUGACUUGUGGCUGGGGGUGAAAGGCCAAUCAAACCGGGAGAUAGCUGGUUCUCCCCGAAAGCUAUUUAGGUAGCGCCUCGUGAAUUCAUCUCCGGGGGUAGAGCACUGUUUCGGCAAGGGGGUCAUCCCGACUUACCAACCCGAUGCAAACUGCGAAUACCGGAGAAUGUUAUCACGGGAGACACACGGCGGGUGCUAACGUCCGUCGUGAAGAGGGAAACAACCCAGACCGCCAGCUAAGGUCCCAAAGUCAUGGUUAAGUGGGAAACGAUGUGGGAAGGCCCAGACAGCCAGGAUGUUGGCUUAGAAGCAGCCAUCAUUUAAAGAAAGCGUAAUAGCUCACUGGUCGAGUCGGCCUGCGCGGAAGAUGUAACGGGGCUAAACCAUG
rnacentral:rRNA from 1 species